UCUCUCGACCCGGAUUUGAACCAGCGACCUAAGGAUCACCGUUGUAACAUCUACAGUCCGCCGCUCUGCCAACUGAGCUAUCGAGGG
rnacentral:tRNA from 1 species